UGAGGAAUUUUGCGCAAUGGGAGCAAUCCUGUCGCAGCAACGCCGCGUGGGUGAAGAAGGCCUUCGGGUCGUAAAGCCCUGUCAGGAGGGAAGAACCUCGCUUGGGCGAAUAGCCUCGGCGACUGACGGUACCUCCAGAGGAAGCACCGGCUAACUCCGUG
rnacentral:rRNA from 1 species